rnacentral:rRNA from 1 species
GAGUUCGAUUAUGGUCUGAUUGAACGCUGGCGGAUGCUUUACACAUGCAAUGAACGGCAGCAGUUGAAUUUCGGUCUGGUGGCGAGCGGCGAACGGUGAGUAGUCGUAUCGGAACGCGCCUAGUAAGCGGGGGGAUAACUACGCAGGUAGCCAUUACCGCACAUUGCCCUUCGGGGAAAGCGGGGGACCUUCGGGCCUCGCACUAUUAGAGCGGCCGAUACUGGAUUAGCUAGUUGGUGGGGUAACGGCUCACUAAGGCGACGAUCCGGGCUGGUUUGAGAGACGACCAGCCACACUGGGACCGAGACACGGCCCAGACUCUACGGAGGCAGCAGUGGGGAAUUUUGGACAAUGGGGAAACUCCCGAUCCAGCCAUCCCGCGUGCGAUGAAGGCUCUCGGUUGUAAAGCACUUUUGGCAGGGAAAGAAACGGCACGGAUAAUGUUCCGUGCAACUGACGGUACUGCAGAAUAAGCACCGGCUAAUCUACGUGCCAGCAGCCGUGGUAAUACGUAGGGUGCAAGCGUUAAUCGGAAUUACUGGGCGUAAAGCGUGCGCAGGCGGUUCGAAAGAAAGAUGUGAAAUCCCAGAGCUUAACUUUGAACCGCAUUUUUAACUACCGAGCUAGGAGGUAACAGAGGGAGGUGGAAUUCCGUUGCAGCAGUGAAAUGCGUAGAUAUGGUGGAGGAACACCGAUGGCGAAGGCAGCCUCCUGGGAUAACACUGACGCUCAUGCACGAAAGCGUGGGGAGCAAACAGGAUUAGAUACCCUGGUAGUCCACGCCCUAAAAACGAUGUCAACUAGCUGUUAAAUCCUUUCUGGCCUUUGGUAGCACAGCUAACGUGGUGAAGUUGACCGCCUGGGGAGUACGGGUCGCAAGAUUAAAAACUCAAAGGAAUUGAUUUGGGACCCGUACGCGGUGGAUGAUGUGGAUUAAUUGAUGCAACGCGAAAAACCUACCUACCCUUGACAUAAGUUCUGGAAUCCCGAAGAGAUUUGGGAGGCUCUGCAGAACCGGAACACAGGUGCUGCAUGCUAUUGCCAGUCAGCUCGUGUCGUAGAUGUUGGGUUAAGUCCUGCAACGAGCGCAACCCUUUGUCAUUAGGUUGCCACGAAAGGGCACUCUUAUCGAGACUGCCGGUGACAAACGAGGAAGGUGGGGCGGAAAGACGUCAAGUCCUCAUGGCUCUGGCGGUGGGCUUUACACGUCAUACAAUGGUCGGGCAGAGGGUCGCCAACCCAAGUGAGGGGGGAGUCAGGGCCCUGCGAAACCUGAUCAGUCCGGAUCGCAGUCUGCAACUCGACUGCGUGAAGUCGGAAUCGCUAGGUAACGCGGAUCAGCAUGUAUCGCGGGUGAAUACGUUCCUGGGUCUUGUACACACCGCCCGUCACACCAUGGGAGUGGGUUUUACCAGAAGUGCAGUUAGCCUAACCGUAAGGAGGCGAUUACCACGGUAGGAUUCAUGACUGUGGGGUGGGUUGCAACAAGGUAA